CCCUUAGAUGUUCUGGGCUGCACGCGCGCUACACUGAAGCUAUCAACACGUUUUCCCUCCCUGAGAAGGGCGGGUAACCUUUUGAAUCAGCUUCGUGGUAGGGAUCGGGGCUUGCAAUUGUUCCCCGUGAACCAGGAAUUCCUAGUAGACGCGAGUCAUAAGCUCGCAUCGAUUAAGUCCCUGCCCUUUGUACACACCGCCCGUCGCUACUACCGAUUGAACGUUUUAGUGAGGCAUUUGGACCGACGCAUCUCAGUUUAACCGCUGGUUUGUGUUGGAAAGACUUCCAAACUUGAGCGUUUAGAGGAAGUAAAAGUCGUAACAA
rnacentral:rRNA from 1 species